GUUAUCUGUACCUUUAGCACCAAAAAGAACAAUUCACAAACUCAAUAAUAUGGUAUUGUAUAUAUUUCCAAAGACAUAGACCCACAGAUUUAAAAAUACAUAAUUUUAUACAUAGAAAAUUUAAUUCAACAUUUAACGAAUUCAGUUAGGACUUUUAUUCUGGCAAUUUAGCUAAUUAAACUAACAUAGAAAUUCUCUUGAUAAACCUGUAGAAAUACUUGAUGUAUCAAUAAAGCAAGUCAAUACAGUGAGAAAAUGGCAAAAUAGAAAGGAAAAUCCCAAGGUAGUAGAAAUAGGAAAGAAACUGAAAGCCAGAGCCAGAAGCAUUUGAGCUGCCUCUGCAGGAGAUCUAGGGACAGUCAACCCAUCCCCUCCAAACGCACUAGAGUCUUAGAAUUAAUACCCAUACAGGGACCCAAGAAUGAGGCCUUGUAUAUGUUCAAGAUGGUACAUGUGUGCUUAAGAUUGCUGUAUUAAGCUAUGACCCUCAAAGGGCUGCACCCAUGGUAACUUCCCAAGCUUGUACCACAUGUGGAUUUGGAGCCCAAAUGUAAUUCUUCACGUUGUUCAGAAUCACCAGCUGAGAAACUGGCAUCACUAAAGAUGAGCUCACAAUCAGAUAUUUUAAAACUUGAGUCAGAAACACUCAACAAUGAGUGAGAAUCAACUGGAAGAAGGGUACGAUUUAGAACUUGAAGAACAUGCUGUCCUUGGAGAAAGUAUGACAGGUGUGCACAAUAUGGCAGGUACGAGGAUGUUCAUUAUAGCAUUAUUUGCAAAAGUAAGAUAUGAGAAAGAACAUAAUUAUCAGGAUGGAAAUGAGAAACUGUGGAUAAGUGGACUCAAGAACAGUUAAAAUGAAGUAAUUACUUUACAUAUAUGAACAUGAACAUCUUUGCAAAACAGACUUCUGAGUGAAAACCACAAAUUGUAGAAGAAUAGAUGUAGGAGGAUAUCACUAUGAACAUAUUAAAAGUAUAUGCAGCAGCACUAUAUAAUAUUUAAGCAGUGUUCUAUAUUGUUCAUGAAUGUAUGUAUGUGUAGUAAAAGUAUAAAAAAUAUUUUGGAAUGACACCAGUUUAAGAUAGUGGUACCUCUAGGAAGGAAGGGAGGAGGAAGCUAUCAGAAAUUAGACCUUAGCCAAAUCUAUGUUAUUUAAAAUUUGACAUCUAGAGCAAACAUGACACGAUAUUAACAUUUGUCUAAAUGAGGAGGGUGGUUGAUAUGUGCAUGGCUCUUAGAUUAUUUUCUGCACUGUAAGUUUUAAAAUAUUAAAUAAUUUCAAGGUUACAUAGUUGAAUUAGCUAAUUCCAUAGGUUUGUUUAAAAUGUUAGUAAAAAUACAUGUUAUAAUAUUUACUCUGAGUGAUUUUGGUGUUUUGUCUCUUGAUCUCAGUGCCUAGUGUGGUGUGUGGCAUGUCACUGGGCUCCGUCAGUGACUUUUGGGUGAAUGAAUGGAUUCUGCAGAAGGAGAAGUUGGGUUGACCAGAGAAAGGGGGAAAGCAUGCACAGAGGUAUAUAGGAUUCCCCACUGUGUUUGUAUUGGAGCAGCAAGGAUGUGUCCUAAAAGGGCCUAAUGACUUAUGAGGUUGGAAGGGUAAAGCUGGCAUCUGAUUGAGAACUGGGAACCAAGGUGAUGAUAAGUAACCUUCAUUAGGUCUUAAAGGAGACCUGUUGAAAGUUGUUUUUGGGGCACCUGGGUGGCUCAGUCGUUAAGCAUCUGCCUUCGGCUUGGGUCAUGAUCCCGGGGUCCUGGGAUUGAGCCCCACAUCGGGCUCCCUGCUCUGCGGGAAGCCUGCUUCUCCUGCUCCCACUCCCCCUGCUUGUGUUCCCUCUCUCGCUGUGUCUCUCUCUGUCAAAUAAAUAAAUAAAAUCUUUAAAAAAAAAGGAAAGUUGUUUUUGGAGGUAGUUGUCCUGGUAGUGUAGUGCAUAGGUCAGAAUGAAAAGAGACCAGGCAGCAGGCCAGGAAAUCUAUUUUGGAAUCUUAGGGUUAUGAGAAAGGCUGGUUUUGACAUUCAGUGAACACUGAUUAGAAUCAUAAAUGAUCCAUUUUGAUUGUCCUACUCACAUCUCACAUUGGAUUCUCAUGUAUUCUUGAUGCCCCCAACAUAAUGCUAACCCUUCCUUACAGCCUUCCCCAAGUUUCUCUGUGAAGGUGAUCUCUCUUCAUCUGAGCUCAUAGCUGUUUGUGCCUUUGUCAACUCUCUAUGAGGUGGUAAGGCCCACCCCACCCCCACAGCCCUGGCACAGUGCCUGGUGCUCAGCAGGCAGGCAUCCAGAUGCAUGUUCAUUGGACGAAUCAUGAACCUCAGCAAAGCCUCAUGUGUUUUAAGCUUAUCAAGUAAGGGUGCUCCACCAUGAGGUUAUCUACUUGGCACCUGUGGGUUGCUGCCCGUCCUUUCUCAUAUCUACCCUCUUUCAGUGUGCUUUUCGGUGGGCCGCAAGAAGACCAUUGACACACUUACUGUGCUCUUGUGACCACCCGCUUUCCACACUAGCAAGGAGCCCGUUAGAAAGCAAUGUCAGUGAAGGGAGCAUAGGUUUUUGUCACUUGAGAGACCCCUCUGUGUCUUCCAGUCUCCACCAACUGUCACUCUCAGAAAAAGAAUAUAAAGAUAAAGAAGAACAGAAAUUAGCUAUCAGACCCAAGGCCUCUUUCUUGUCAGCCAUUGCUGAUGUGCUCAAAGGAAAUUAAAAGUGGGACCACUGUUUAUGGCCAUGAAGCUUCCUUUGGAUUCAGGUCGUUCUUACAUGAAUUGAGUUUAACCAGCAAAAAAGGGGAUUUGAUAACUAGUUAUCUUUCAUAUUGUUUUAUUUAGAUCCUGCACCAGAGUUGGUAAGGGGACCUGUAAGAUUUUCUUAGGUUUCCUAGUCCAAAGAUGGUGUUAUAAUAACGCAAAGGGAAAUGAAAAGUAUAUUUUUCUUUACUUUUUCUGUUGUUCAAAGCAUUUGCUGUUAUUGGCCUUACCCUGUGAGUAAGAAGAAGGAGGCAGUGGCAUGAGGUCUUAUUUAGUAUUCUUUUAUUGUGCUGAAUAAUAUACCAUGGAGCCCUCUCCCAAAGGAGUGGCUCUAAAACUGAGCAGUUGGGUUCCCUCACACUUGUAGUACCAAUGAUGAGUUUUUAACCCAUGCCAUGAGAUGUUCUCAUUUUCUAGGUGGAGAAACUGAGCCUCUCCUUAUUUUUAUUUAGGAACAGUGCCCUGAAAAGUGAACUGCCAUUGGCAGUUUAUUUGUGGUAUGCCUUGUUGAGAACUUAAAAAACAGAAAUCAUUAAAAAUCAUUUUAAAAUCUUAAUGAUUAAUUGCUUAGUUUCUUUAUUAAUGCCUCCUUGGAAAUUUAGUUCUAAACAAGGUUAAUAACCCCAUUUCUGAUACAAUUUCUCAUUUGCUUUAUUUACUCCAAAAGAGCAGUAAUAACCCAAGCAAUAUCAACAUAUAAUGAUCCUUAAUCUGGAAUUGAUGGUGCUUAUAUCCUAAGAUGAUAAUGUUAAGCCAAAAAUAAUCAUUGUGACUUCAAAAAGCCUGAAAGUGAGUUAUGAGAUUAGUUAAUAGAGAAGUUACAGCCUGUCUGCUUUGUGCCAAAUAUACUGUAGUUACCUAUGUAUUUAAUAUUUCCCCUCAUUGAAGGUAGGCUAUGGAAAUACUUAAUAAGGAAACCACAACUUUUCUCCAUUUAUAAUGACCACAGUAUAGUUCUUUAUAUAUUUAAUAUUCACUUCAUUUAAAGUGGGCUAUGGGAUCAGUUGAUAGAGAAGACACCACUUUUCUUCAUUUGUUUUGAGUAUACUAUAUAUUUAAUAUUUUUAAUAUGUAUAUAUUUAAUAUUUUGCCUCAUUCCAAAAGUUUUUGAAACAUCUUUUAAAAAUACAAAACUCAAAAAUGGAAUGAGGAAAUGAGAGCACAUGGAAGAUAAUGAUUAGAAAAAUAAAAUGAAACCGAGGUGAAAUAGUAUAAACGUGUAUGUUGCUAACAUUCCCUGCAUUUGCUAAAAGUAGGGAGCCACUUUGGCUCUGAGUGACCUAGUACCCAUCCUAAAGAGAGAAACACGAAUGAAUUAUAUUCAAAAUGUCUGUUGGAUAAAACCAAACCAGGUUGCUCAGGAUAAUCUGCCAUUCCUGGGGCCAAGACUUGAGUGCUUUCUCCUGUGAGUCGCCACUGAGAGACCACUUUGUGAUGUGGCAAACAGCAUCCUUGGUCGUCUCUCUCUAUAUGAAAUCAGGCUCAUAGGUUUCUUUCUUAUACUGCUAAAUGCGCUAUAAAUAGAUAGAAUAGCACCUUACCUGGAAGUAAUUCUUCAGGAGGCUAAAUCUGACAGUCUAGUUUGACUCAAAGAUGAUAUUUAGCAUAUCAUCAGAUGGAUGGGUUAAUUUCAGGUCCUCCAAUCAGGCAGCAUGCCACGAUGACUAUUUCUAUCUGCCACGCUUUUUAUAGUCACGGGUAACAACGGGUGUCCUGUGUUACAGGUCACUGUGCAGCUACCUGGUGUGUGUGCCCUAACAAGGGACAUGGCCCUCAUGGGAUGCUGAGGUGUGUACAGCUCAUCUCAGGAGAAUCUCAGCACAGUUAACUCAGAGGGAAGUUUGCUCUUUCAACCUCUUGCCUCCCAUGGGCUAAGCAACAACCUUCAAAUUCAAAUUUUGAUGAGCAUGGAAUUUAUUCUUUUUCUCCUCGCAGCAUCAUCAAUGGGGUUUCUUUCUGACAUUAGUCUAGGUUAGAUUUCACUGGAUAAGAUGACAGUAAAAGGUCCCGGUAGCCCACAGUGAGGGGCCCAGCUCCUCACCCCAGGAUUUCCCCUGCCCACCUCCGCUCCCAAGGGCAAAGGAAGGGGCAGGGGUGGCCAGAGCAGUAUUCUUCCUCUGUUUUGGGGUUUUGGUUUUAUUUUGUUUUUUUACUGACUGUGGAGUUAAAUAAUGCUCAUUUCAGACAACUUGUAAAAUUCAAAAAAGUAUAGAGUAAAACCCAUAAUUCUACCAUUCAGAGACAACCAUUUUAUUUUCAAGUCACGCUUAUUGAAGUGUAAUUUACUUAGAGUAAAAUUCACCCUUUGUAACAUACAGUUUUAUGAUUUUUGAGAUUUUUGAUAUGUGGUUGUAUAACCACCACCACAAAGAACAUUGCCACUAACCCCAAAAAAGAGUCAACCACUUUUAAGUGUUUGCUGCAUUUCAUUCUCUUCAAUUUAUUUUUUUUAAGUUUGAGGUCAUUCCCCCUGGCUAACCUUGUGUCUUGUUCCUAAAAUCCCACUUUGACAUGUCAGGCCUAACUUUUAAUGGCUCCCACUUGCCUGAGGAAUUCCCAGUGGGACAAAAAACUUGAGGCUGAGGGGCGCCUGGGUGACUCAGUUAAGCGUCUGCCUUCAGCUCAGGUCAUGAUCCCAGGGUCCUGGGAUUGAGCCCUGCAUGGGGCUCUGUGCUCAGCGGGGAGCCUGCUUCUGCCUCACACUCUCCCUCUGUGCUUUCUCUCUCUCUCUCUCCAAUAAAUAAAUAAAAUCUUUAAAAAAAAAAAAAAAAGCCUUGAGGCUGAACCAGUGACCUAGGGCUGCUAAUUCAGCAGCGGUUAGAGAUCAUUACAGCCUUCCAGUGGCAGGCGGCACAGCGUGGGAGGAAGACUUGGCCAGGGGAGGAAAUAGUCUAAGGCAGAUUCAGCCUUCAAGUAUCCAAGGUGUGGCCUAUGCUUCGUGUUUCAUGUAAGCAGAGAAAUUGCACAAGUGGUUCAACUUGUUGGGUAAUAAAACUGUGCAAGGAGAAGAAAAUGGAGUUGGAAUUGAAAAGUCAGUAAAUGAAAAUAUGAUCAGCUUUGACUUCAAGAAACUAUUUCUGAGAUUUUACUGUACAGAAUUCCAAAACUAUCCCUGAUUGCAGACUUGGAAUCUUGCCAUUCAUUGUCCAGAAACAAAGUUACUUCUCGACAAGUUGUAGACGGUGAAAGAAAAAGUUUCUUUCUUUAGGGUACAUAAGUUGGUUCCACGAAUUUUAUCUUGUAAAUCAUAGUUUGUCCACUUAUUAAAAUGGAACACUUAAGUUUUCAUUUAUAUUGAAGUCAAAAAAAAAAAAGGUUCUUAAAAAAUGGACCUUUUAAUAAUUGUAGGAAACAUUAAUGGCAACUUUUGGAAUCAAAGUACAGAUUUAAGUUUUCAUUUUGAUUUUUAUACAUUGUCUUAAACUUUGAUGACCCCAUUUGGAAACAGUUGGUCCCUUCACAUUGUCUGUCCUUUGACUACUACUGAUGUUAGGAAGUUACUCUAGACUGAGAAAAAUCCUGUCCAUAUCAACUGAAUGAGGGGGAGAAUGGGUGGCAAUAUUGAAAUUAAAUAACUUCAAACUCUUCCCAAGAUUCUCUCUCCCUUUCAGUUAGUUUAAAGCCCUGCUAAAAUAGAAUUCUUUAUGGUUUCAAAAAGGUCAUACAAUCUUGACAAAUAGUCUUCUUAUCGACACUUAAGAAAAGAACUGUUAUUUUUUAAUGAAAAGAUUUGAUUCUCCACUGCCAUUCAGAUAUUUUUUUACACUUUAUGGGGUCAUCUGCUAGUGCCCAUCAGGCUUCCAUUGAUAUUAUUAAAAAUUCUAAAAGUGUUUUAGGCUGACAGUAGCAGAAAAGGCUUUUUCAUGGUUCAAGUCUUUUCUUCAGCGAAUAUUUUUAACUCAUUGUGAAGUAAACCUCCUCAAAUGAUACAUUCUUUAAAAAUGAAGAGUCUUUGAAAAGAUUGAAUGUUUAUGCCUUGACAGUUUAUUGCUUAUUUAAUGUACCACUAGGAAGAUGCUUGAUAUAAAGUUCUGUCCCUUUGGCCUCCAGAGCUCUCACCAGCAAAACCUGAGUUUUUAAAGUAAUAGUUUUAUUGAGAUAUAUUUCACAUACCAUAAAAUGCAUACUUUUAAAAUGUACAAUUCAUAUUUUUAGUGUAUUCACAGAGUUUGUUCAACCCUUACUACUGUUCCAUUUUAGAGCAUUUUUAUCACCCUAUAAAGAAGCCUUCUACCUAUUAGCACCCCUUUCCAAUUCUCCCCUCCGCAUUACCCCUGAGAACUGUUCAUCUACUUUCUGUCUCUGUGGAUUUGCCCAUUGGACAUUUUCUAUAUAUGAUAUCAGGCAAUAUAUGGCCUUUUGUGACUUGGUUUCUUUCACUGAGCAUGAUGAUUUUCAAGGUUCACCCAUGUUUGUAACACCCAUGUUGUAUCAGUACUAAAUCCCUUUUUGUUUCCAAAUAAUUAUUCCAUUGUAUGGAUAUACCACAUUUUGUUUAUUCAUUUGCCAGCUAAUAGACAUUAGGGUUGUUUCUACUUUUUAACUAUUGUAAAUAAUACUACUAUGUCUCUAGGUGUUAAAAGGGAAGAUCCCAAGGGGUUUGCUUUAGGCAUUCUUAGUUUGGGUGUCAGAGGGAGGCACAGGGAGUGAUAGAAGUUUUCCUUAGCCUCUCCACCUACCCUCCUACUCCCUCACAAGAACUUGCCUUCUUCCUUUCUCCUCUGCUUUCUGUUAUGGUAAAUCCCUGUCUACUGCUGAGCUAGUUGUCUGUGUUAAGUUACUUUAGUGCGUAGUAGGUAAAGCUAUUUGGGAGUCCUAUAAUAUUCAUCAGAAUAUAGUUCACCCAAUUUCCAUUCCUAAGUAUUGUCUUCAGUCACUAGUGUCUGUCUUAAUGGUCAAACAAAUAAAAGUGCUCUGAUUUCAUUUCUAAUUCAGACCAAAUGAAGAAUAAACUAUUUGAUAUUUGAAUCUAACUAUCAGAAACUCUCUUGGGGAUCUGUGCAGUGAAUAUUUAUUAAAUGGAUGCUCUUAUGAGCAAAUUUCAUAACACUGAAUUUUUAUGAUGCAACUCCUAUUGUAAACCCAGUAAAGAGUACAGCAUCUGAAAGAUACAUAAAUGAGUCUGUGGCUGACCUGCAGCUCUAAAGAAGUCAUUUAUCUCGAACAGUUUACUUAAGCACAGUUCUUCCAGAAGGCAUUUUAAUUACCGCUUCUCAUUGCCAUUCCAGUCACAAGCCAAUUUCAUCUGGGAUAUACAAAUCCACGUGGCAACUAUCUCUGCUGAUCUGAAUUAAACUUGUAUAAGCUAGGUCUUCUGCAGGGCAUGUGAGCCCAAGAACAGUUAUUGAUGAUCCUGGCUCUGUACUCUAUCUCACGUGUGAAUUCAUUCCUCCUUCAGCACUAAAACAGCUAUUUAUGGUGCUUGUCUGUGAAUUAAGAACUGAAAAUGCUGUUACAGUGAGAAACAUCAUUUUUUUUCAAAAAGCAAAGCAGAAACUUAAGAAACAUGUUUGUUCUUCUCACACAAUGAAAACAAAUUUUUUUUCAGAAAUUAAAGAAACUUUACUGUUUAUAAAAAUUUUUUAAAUAAAUCUUUACAUUGGGUGAUCAAUGGAAAGAAAGUGAAUAGCAUUCUUCAGACAUAUGCCAAAUUUGAUAGUGUCUUUAUAUGAGUAUAAAGAAUUGUAUGUGAAUAAAUCAUUUGCUUUUGAAUGUCUAAAUAGGAUAAAUAAUCAAGGGAGUAUAUGUUUAAUAAAAAAAUUGGGGUUUAUGAUAAAAUUGCUUUUAAGUAAAUUUUUACAUAGGCUUUUCAAAACAUAUUAAAUCUUUUAAAGUAAAAAAAUGAAAUUGUAUGCAUCAUAAACAAAGCUAUUUAUAAUGACAAAUUUUAAGGGGUUUGGAUGCCAGCCAGUGUAUCUUACUACAGAUCUCUGCAGUUUAGUCCCAUGUUCACUCUGCUCAAUCUCAUGCAGAGCAAGUAGAAAAACAGGACCCUUUCCCUACCCCCUACCAGUGCCAGCUCUUUUAAAAAAUAUAUAAGAUUUAUGGGUGGCUGGGUGGCUCAGUCAGUUAAGCAUCUGCCUUUGGCUCGUGUCAUUAUCCCAGGGUCCUGUGAUCAAGCCCCACAUUGGGCUCCCUGCUGAGCAGGGAGCCUGCUUCUCCCUCUCCUUCUGCCUCUCCCCCCAGCUCAUGUUCUUGCUCACUCUGUGUACAUGCUCUCUCUCUAAAUAAAUAAAUAAAUAAAUAAAUAAAUAAAUAAAUAAAUAUAUGUAUAUAUAUGAUUUAAAUUGUUUUACACAUUUCUAGAAAGAGUAUAUUUGUGUGUGCUCUUUUUCUUAUUUUAAAUCUUUGAAAAUGUUUUUCAUUUGUUUUGUUUUGUUUUUACCUUCAGAGGGCUUUUGGAAGAAUAGAAGUGAGGGAGACAAUAGCAGUUAUUAGACCAUGGAUGCAAACAGUUUGCAGUAGCCCAUCUAUUCCAAGGCUGACCCUUUGCCUAACUAACUAGCACCCUAAGUUAUGGCAAAAUACUUAGGAAAGAGAGCCUGAUCUUGUAUUUCGCUGUUUUCAUCUCACUUGCUUUCACUCUUUCAAAUGUCAACUGAAAUGUUAGAAAACCCCUCUAUUCUGAUUUCUACUUUCACUGGUCAGAACACCUGUUGUGGGCUGGGCUUAAACAGAAAUCAUGCUUCCUGUAUAAUUUAUGGGGAUACCAGAGGGAACUGUUUGUUUCAUUUUUUCUAGUACUACCUUUUUGAACUUCCCCUUCCCAUAUGGUCUUCUGGAUCUUUUAUUCAUAGAUUCAAAGCACUAACACAAAAUGCUUUUGUCAAAGAAUAUUUAACAUCUUCUAAAAUGCGUUUACCUCCAGUCCCUAUGAAAGUUACUUGAAUUCUGAAAAGGACUAGUAUUUCUUGUUCCUUUAAUGUUUUUGCUCUGCAUUAAAUACAUAAUUUUCUCUUUAGGAAA